UCCAGCGGUUGUCAGCUGCCCAGUGCAGUUCUGUGCCUGUGCUAGUGUUACACUGCUGGGAGAGAAACAUGCCAUCAGAAUUAGCUGGUACUGUGGUACUGUUCUAGUGCCUGUCAGUGCCACGUUUUGGUAGCACUUUGCAUCCUUGAGAGUGGAAUAACUCUUUCCCUGUAGAGUUUGUCCUAGACUGGAUGCAAACACA
rnacentral:snoRNA from 1 species